AGGGGGUUGAACACUUCCAACCAUGGGUAGGAUCUUAUCCUUGGCUUGAUUUUAUCUGACAUGGCAAGUUUCCUGGAGUCUACAAUCCACCUCUGAUUAUAUUCAGUAGAGACAAGUACACCAAUUCUUGAAGACUGCCUUUUUGUACAAAUUGAAGAUUUGUGGCAAUCUUUCAUCAAGCAAGUCUAUGAGGUUCAUUUUCCCAACAGCAUGUGCUCA
rnacentral:lncRNA from 1 species